rnacentral:rRNA from 1 species
UACGUAGGGGGCUAGCGUUGUCCGGAAUCAUUGGGCGUAAAGCGCGUGUAGGCGGUCCGGUAAGUCCGCUGUGAAAGUCGGGGGCUCAACCCUGGAAUGCCGGUGGAUACUGUCGGGCUAGAGUGCGGGAGAGGCGAGUGGAAUUCCGGGUGUAGCGGUGGAAUGCGUAGAGAUCCGGAAGAACACCGGUGGCGAAGGCGGUCUGCUGGGCAGUUGCUGACACUGAGGCGCGACGAGCGUGGGGAGCAAACAGG